GACGAACGCUGGCGGCGUGCCUAAUACAUGCAAGUCGAACGCUGAAGAGAGGAGCUUGCUCUUCUUGGAUGAGUUGCGAACGGGUGAGUAACGCGUAGGUAACCUGCCUUGUAGCGGGGGAUAACUAUUGGAAACGAUAGCUAAUACCGCAUAACAAUGGAUGACACAUGUCAUUUAUUUGAAAGGGGCAAUUGCUCCACUACAAGAUGGACCUGCGUUGUAUUAGCUAGUAGGUGAGGUAAUGGCUCACCUAGGCGACGAUACAUAGCCGACCUGAGAGGGUGAGGGGCGGAACUGGGAGUGAGACAGGGCACAGGGGCCCACCGGAGCCAGCAGUACGGAGUCUUGGGCAAUGGGGGCGACCGUGAGCAAGCAACGCGGCGUGAGUGAGGAGGGUUUUCGGAUCGAAAAGCUCUGAUGUAAGUGAGGAACAGGAGUGAGAGUGGGAAGAUCACACUGUGAGGGGCGCUGAAAAGAAAGGGACGGCUAACUAAGUC
rnacentral:rRNA from 1 species